AUUGAACGCUGGCGGCAUGCCUUACACAUGCAAGUCGAACGGCAGCACGGGGGCAGCCCUGGUGGCGAGUGGCGAACGGGUGAGUAAAGCAUCGGAACGUACCCGGAAGUGGGGGAUAACGUAGCGAAAGUUACGCUAAUACCGCAUAUUCUGUGAGAAGGAAAGCCGGGGAUCGCAAGACCUUGCGCUUUCGGAGCGGCCGAUGUUGGAUUAGCUAGUUGGUGGGGUAAAGGCCUACCAAGGCGACGAUCCGUAGCGGGUCUGAGAGGAUGAUCCGCCACACUGGGACUGAGACACGGCCCAGACUCCUACGGGAGGCAGCAGUGGGGAAUUUUGGACAAUGGGGGCAACCCUGAUCCAGCCAUGCCGCGUGAGUGAAGAAGGCCUUCGGGUUGUAAAGCUCUUUCGGCCGGGAAGAAAUCGCACGGGAUAAUACCCCGUGUGGAUGACGGUACCGGAAUAAGAAGCACCGGCUAACUACGUGCCAGCAGCCGCCGUAAUAC
rnacentral:rRNA from 1 species